UGCCAAGUGUGUGGCAGGCACCAUUGAUAGCUCUGCGAGCAAGAUGCAAAAAGCAUGCUAUAGAAGUUUCAUGUGUAUUUUCAAAGUACUACAAAGAACAGCAGCACAACUCUGCUUUCCCUCUGUUUACCACCUUCUGAUAUUGCUUGCAUGUGCCAGAAGGCUGCAGGGUGAGAUUAGUAGAGAGAUUAAACAGCUUUAGGGGCAGAUGUUUGGCAAGGAUGUGUCUCCCAGUUAUUUGGCAGCUGACUUUGCACAACUGGUUUCUCAAUCUGCAUGCUGCCACAGUGAAUGUGUAAGAUGAUUUGGUGGCCCAACAGCACCAUCUCCUGCUAGUAGAGUUAAGGAAUUUAGGAGUUCAACUGGGAUAGUGAGUGCUGAUGGGAAGGAAGAGAGCAUUGAAGGACUCUUUUGGGAUAUUCCCACAGCGGUUUCAUGCUCUUACUUUUAGCAUCCAUGUAAUGAUCUGAGGGUAUAAACUGAAACUUUUGCCUGGGCUCUUCCUUUACCAUUCUCCCUUAAAGUUCACAUGGGGUAUGGCCACUCUUAACUAGAAUGCAGCAGGCUUUGUCACCUGGCUGCUGCUUGGCUCAGCAAGCACAGGCUGCAUGUGCCACUGUAAAUAUACUCCGGCUUUGCCCUCUAACACCCUUCAAAGCUGACUCUUCACAUCACCCUCCUAUUUCUACUUCCUAUGUCUCAAAAGAAACAUCUGCAUAGAUGGGCAGUGCCACAGGGCAAGCUGGGCUAGGUUGACCCUAAGGGGAAGGCAUGGGAAAGUAUUCAUUUUAAGGUGCUUUUCACCUCUAGGAGAACAUGGCAUCCUUCCAAAGCAUCAAUCUGCAUUUUGUAUGGGGUGGUUUUUUCUUUCUUUUUUCCUGUUCAGAACAUGUAUCACACUGUUGUACUUCUGUUCCCAUCCAUGUAGAGUAUUGCCUUAAACAGAUUAGUUGCGUUGUAUUUUGGUUUUCUUUUUUCUACCAUCAGUUUUAUGCAUUAAUUUAUUUUUAAAUGUGAGUUUUUUUGAAAAACAUGAAACAUGUAUAAUAUUUUUUUUUACAUUUCCAUUGCAGUAUUUAUCAUUGUUACUGGUUGUGUGUAGUGUAAGAGAAUUAAUAUUAAAAAGCAU
rnacentral:lncRNA from 1 species